UACGUAGGGACCAAGUGUUGUCCGGAAUCAUUGGGCGUAAAGAGCGUGUAGGCGGCUUGUUAAGUCUUGCGUGAAAUCUCGGGGCUCAACCCCGAGCGGUCGUGAGAAACUGGCAGGCUAGAGUGCGGGAGAGGAGAGUGGAAUUCCUGGUGUAGCGGUGAAAUGCGCAGAUAUCAGGAAGAACACCCGUGGCGAAGGCGGGUCUCUGGGCAACAACUGACGCUGAGGAGCGAAAGCGUGGGGAGCGAACAGG
rnacentral:rRNA from 1 species